rnacentral:rRNA from 1 species
CCUACGGGAGGCAGCAGUGAGGAAUAUUGGUCAAUGGACGAGAGUCUGAACCAGCCAAGUAGCGUGAAGGAUGACUGCCCUAUGGGUUGUAAACUUCUUUUACAUGGGAAUAAAAUGUUCCACGUGUGGGAUUUUGUAUGUACCAUAUGAAUAAGGAUCGGCUAACUCCGUGCCAGCAGCCGCGGUAAUACGGAGGAUCCGAGCGUUAUCCGGAUUUAUUGGGUUUAAAGGGAGCGUAGGUGGAUUGUUAAGUCAGUUGUGAAAGUUUGCGGCUCAACCGUAAAAUUGCAGUUGAAACUGGCAGUCUUGAGUACAGUAGAGGUGGGCGGAAUUCGUGGUGUAGCGGUGAAAUGCUUAGAUAUCACGAAGAACUCCGAUUGCGAAGGCAGUUCACUGGACUGCAACUGACACUGAGGCUCGAAAGUGUGGGUAUCAAACAGGAUUAGAUACCCCUGUAGUC